AUUGAAUAUAAUGGAAAUCGGCGAUAACCGAAAAAAGAACGAAGAAUUGGCGAAAGAAGAAGAAGAAAAAAAAAUAAGAAACAGAAGGAAAGCGACGAGAAACGGUCUACCGAACCGCCGAAGAGAGAAAGAGAGAGACGGAUUACGAAAAGACCAUUUGCGAGCAAAAGUGAGGAACUGUAUAGUAACGCAUUGGUACUACUUGCACAAGGCGGAGCGAGCAAGAUGAAGCAACGGCGUGGCGGAACAAGUGAGAAAGAAGAGGAGAAUGAGUGUGUGAAAGAGAGAAAGAGAGAGACAGAAGGAUAGAACGAAUGGCGCGCAGCAGUGGGGGAAGAAGAGGGAGAAUUACGAUGAGAGGGUAUAAGAGAAGGAGAAUCUCCGUUUGAUCUUGCCGCCGCACGCGAUCCCACACACAUAUAUGCGCAUGUUCUGGCCUCUCAAUAUGGAUUCGCAUGAAUGCACCAACACAUCGCGCCAGUUAAAAUCUCUCUUCUCUCUCACCUUGCCACACAGUCCUGGGUGCUUCGAUCGACAGUGCACAGCCAGGGUACUCUGUUGCUCUUGGAUGUGUAUAAUAAACACCGUGCGAGCCAACUCAGCCGAGUCGCCUAUAAUUUCUCGCGGAAAAUUAUAUGUUAAUGCGCCCUUAAUGGCGUCGUUCGUUAACGGGAUCGUUGUACAGGCCCAAGGGAUAGAACCGUGCCGAGAGCGCAAUUCGAUUCGCUCGAGCAUGCCGCGAGCAGCGCGCGAGUCGUCAUUCAACAACCUCGCGGUCAUAGUUUCUUGUAUUGCCUUUUCUUCUUGUGUGUGUGUAUAUGUGUGUGUGUACACGCUUCUUAGAAAAAUCUCGGCGAAUAUCUUUAAAGCUGAUAUUAUAAUUUAGCGCGCGUACGCGCGCGCACCGAUUCAUAAAUGCUCUUUAUAUAUGGUGCAUUAUUCAAUGAUUGUAUUUCUGACUUUACAUGGAAAAACAAUUUUUUUCCUUUAUAUUAUAACAUAAUAUUUUAUAUUGCCGUUGCGGCUUUUACAGGCCCAGUCUGCUCGUUAGUCGAUACUCGUGGUUACCGAUAGACUAACGAAACCUCGAAUAACUGAAUCAGACGAUUCCCUUCUUAUAUAAAAGUGUACUUGAGCCGUGAUAGAGGACCGUAUAUGCGACCGAUGUAUCACUGAUGAUACACUGAAAACCAGGUAUAGUACCCACUUGGUCGCACGAGAAAGAGGAUUGACACACAAAUUGAAAUAAACUGAACUGACGACACCGAGAAACUGAAUGAUAAAAUGGGUGAUGGGUGAAACGAGAGCACAAGAACGAGAGAGAGUGUGUGUGUGUGUGUGUGUGGAAGGGGUCUCACAAACAGAGUGAGAACAGUGCUACAGACAAUAGAGACAAUUAUUGCACACAGACGGAGGAGGAGAUGAUGGAUCAAACGCGGUACCAUUUCGGCGCCCCUUUAUCUCCUUUCACUUAUCUUUUCUUCUCCUCUCUUUUUCUACCAUCCCUCUACCCACUAUCCACCCCUGGUGAGCACUUUCCUCCCCCUCCUCCUCUUAUCGUAACACGUUUCGUGUUUAUUUCGCCUUUUAACCUGUUUAACUUUGAUACAGGCACACACUGUUGAAAUGCGAUUCAACAUUGCGCAUUCAAUCGCUCGUUUUUACCAUUAACGCACGCAGAAUAAGAUAAUUUUAUGUUACGAACCUUUCAUUUAAUGAAAAUGCCGCGGAUGACUAUAAGAUACUUAUAGAAUAAUGUUUUAAUAUGUAUAAAGUAAACAGCGAACAUUGAAUCACACAUCGUAUGGCCUUUUCAAAGCGUAAAUGUUGAUAAUGUAAAUCCCUGCUUUGUAAGAUUAAACAUAGAGAAUAAAUUUUCUUUUAAAAAAUAAA